GAUGAAGAACGUAGCGAAAUGCGAUAAGUAGUGUGAAUUGCAGAAUUCAGUGAAUCAUCGAAUCUUUGAACGCACAUUGCGCCCCCUGGUAUUCCGGGGGGCAUGCCUGUCCGAGCGUCAUUGCUGCCCUCAAGCACGGCUUGUGUGUUGGGCCUCCGUCCUCCUCCCGGGGGACGGGCCCGAAAGGCAGCGGCGGCACCGCGUCCGGUCCUCGAGCGUAUGGAGCUUCGUCACCCGCUCUUGUAGGCCCGGCCGGCGCUUGCCGACACAUCAAUCUUUUUUCCAGGUUGACCUCGGAUCAGGUAGGGAUACCCGCUGAACUUAAGCAUAUCAAUAAGCGGAGGA
rnacentral:misc_RNA from 1 species